rnacentral:rRNA from 1 species
AGAGUUUGAUCCUGGCUCAGACUGAACGCUGGCGGCAUGGCUAAAGCAUGCAAGUCGAACGAGCCCGCAAGGGCAAGUGGCGGACGGGUUAGUAAUACGAUCGAACGUACCCCGAAGUGGGGGAUAGCGGUGGGAAACUGCCGGUAAUACCCCAUGUGCUCUUCGGAGGAAAGAUUUAUCGCUUUGGGAUCGGCGAUCGUCCUAUCAGGUAGUUGGCGGGGUAAAAGCCCACCAAGCCGAAGACGGGUAGCAGGUGUGAGAGCACGACCUGCAACAUCGGAACUGAGAUACUGUCCGGACUCCUACGGGAGGCUGCAGCAACGAAUCUUCCGCAAUGGGCGCAAGCCUGACGGAGCAAUGCCGCGUGUGGGAUGAAGUGCCUCCGGCAUGUAAACCACUGUCAGAAAGCAGAAACACUGAUUGCUUUCAAAGGAAGUGGCGACUAACCCUGUGCCAGCAGUCGCGGUAAUACAGAGGCCACGAGCGUUAGUCGGAAUUACUGGGCUUAAAGGGUGCGUAGGCUGUCCUUCAAGCGUCCUGUGAAAGCCUCCCGCUCAACGGGAGAACAGCAGGGCGAACUGGAUGACUCGAGGUUGGUAGGGGCUCACAGAACAGUCGGUGGACCGGUGAAAUGGGUAGAUAUCAGGAGGAACACCGGUGGCGAAGGCGGCUCUCUGGUCCACAACUGACGCUGAGGUGCGAAAGCUAGGGGAGCAAACGGGAUUAGAUACCCUGGUAGUCC